rnacentral:rRNA from 1 species
UACGUAGGGGCCUAGCGUUGUCCGGAAUUAUUGGGCGUAAAGAGCUCGUAGGCGGUUCGGCAAGUCGGAUGUGAAAUCUCCACGCUUAACGUGGAGGGGCCAUUCGAAACUGCUGUGACUCGAGUCCGGUAGGGGAGUGUGGAAUUCCCGGUGUAGCGGUGAAAUGCGCAGAUAUCGGGAGGAACACCAGUAGCGAAGGCGGCACUCUGGGCCAGUAUUGACGCUGAGGAGCGAAAGCGUGGGGAGCGAACAGG